CCCAUCACCUAUUAUAAGGCUUCAGUGCUUUGAGAAUCUCCAAGGGAAGCCAAAGAUGUGGAGCAGUAGCUUCUUUCCUUAGCAAUCAUUUAUGUUAUCAGUCAUCCCCUAAAUCCCAGCAAAAACAAGCACCUACAGGGGCAGAAGCAUGCACGAUGCCAACGCUGCGCUCUUGGCAGCAGGACAACUGCAUUGAAGUGCCAGGCAGGAUCCCCCAUUGUACAAAUCAAUGUGUUUUACCACAAGCUUGGGCCUUCUGGUAAUAAACUAAACAAGAGCUGCAGCUUUCUUCAUGGAUGUAAUCAGCAAACAGGAAAAUUUAUGGCUCCCCAUCAGCAAUAAAUCAGGAGACCAAAUUUCCUGCUCCUUCUCAGACAGAUACACCGUUGUACAACAUGAGAGAAAGCCCCCAAAGUGUGGAGGAUAUGAAGGUUUAACACACAGGCAAGUCUGGAUAGCAGUUCAGAACAAGCAGAAGAAAGACAGAUCAGCUUCCAGUGUGAUGGAAAAUAGCAAGCUCUUCAUUAUAUUUAAUGCAUUUGCU
rnacentral:lncRNA from 1 species